GCCAGCAACAGGAGGGAGACACAGCCGCUGCAUUGUUGGAGACGUUCGAGGACGAAUCCCUUUCCACAUGCGAAGCCUCCUCCACCUCCGUCGCGGUGCCCCCGGCUGCCCUGUCUCCUCUCCACCAGCUGCAGCGGCUCCUCUCCAGCACCAGCUCGGACACCGACACCAGCACGUCACAGCAACGUCUUAUCACCGGCAAGAGGAAAGGGGGCCACAGAAAAUUGGACCUUCCUAGCGUACUUGUGGAGAUGCAGGCUGAGGAGGAGUGGAGUCAUGCCCAGCAUGAUGAGAACAUCUGGUUGCUCCUCAGCGAGGCAAGAGAGAAUGAAGCUGCCUUGCAGCGGGAGGAGAUGGCCCAGAAUGCUGCCUUCAACCAGUCAUUCCUGGGUGUGCUGGGGCAGCUGGGGCAGGCAGUGCUGGGGCAGCUGGGG
ensembl:lncRNA